ensembl:lncRNA
GCGUAACUUCUUUAUCAAGUAUCUGAAGAAACCCAUUCACAGGAGCUUGGUCACUAACUCAUGUCCUAACAUCAGAUCUGGGAUCCACUUGCUAGAUGAAGACCUCCGAUCACUGAAUGGGGAUAGUCCAUCCAGCUGGAAAUUUUACUGGCUCUCCCUGUGUGGCAGCUCCCUUUGCUAUCCCAGACCAAAGUGACUCCAUGCUCCACCUUGCCUUCUCUGAGUAUUUCUUUCAGACCUCCUCAUUUGCUUACUACACUGCAGGGGCCUUCAACAUCACCAUUGCAGAGGAGGUGAGUAGGACACAGAGGAAUGGGGUCAGAGUUGCUCAGGUCAUCCAAGAUGGGCCUUUGACCCACCAG